GGGUUGUGAGGUUAAGCGACUAAGCGUACACGGUGGAUGCCCUGGCAGUCAGAGGCGAUGAAGGACGUGCUAAUCUGCGAUAAGCGUCGGUAAGGUGAUAUGAACCGUUAUAACCGGCGAUUUCCGAAUGGGGAAACCCAGUGUGAUUCGUCACACUAUCAUUAACUGAAUCCAUAGGUUAAUGAGGCGAACCGGGGGAACUGAAACAUCUAAGUACCCCGAGGAAAAGAAAUCAACCGAGAUUCCCCCAGUAGCGGCGAGCGAACGGGGAGGAGCCCAGAGCCUGAAUCAGUGUGUGUGUUAGUGGAAGCGUCUGGAAAGGCGCGCGAUACAGGGUGACAGCCCCGUACACAAAAAUGCACAUGCUGUGAGCUCGAUGAGUAGGGCGGGACACGUGGUAUCCUGUCUGAAUAUGGGGGGACCAUCCUCCAAGGCUAAAUACUCCUGACUGACCGAUAGUGAACCAGUACCGUGAGGGAAAGGCGAAAAGAACCCCGGCGAGGGGAGUGAAAAAGAACCUGAAACCGUGUACGUACAAGCAGUGGGAGCACGCUUCGGCGUGUGACUGCGUACCUUUUGUAUAAUGGGUCAGCGACUUAUAUUCUGUAGCAAGGUUAACCGAAUAGGGGAGCCGAAGGGAAACCGAGUCUUAACUGGGCGUUAAGUUGCAGGGUAUAGACCCGAAACCCGGUGAUCUAGCCAUGGGCAGGUUGAAGGUUGGGUAACACUAACUGGAGGACCGAACCGACUAAUGUUGAAAAAUUAGCGGAUGACUUGUGGCUGGGGGUGAAAGGCCAAUCAAACCGGGAGAUAGCUGGUUCUCCCCGAAAGCUAUUUAGGUAGCGCCUCGUGAAUUCAUCUCCGGGGGUAGAGCACUGUUUCGGCAAGGGGGUCAUCCCGACUUACCAACCCGAUGCAAACUGCGAAUACCGGAGAAUGUUAUCACGGGAGACACACGGCGGGUGCUAACGUCCGUCGUGAAGAGGGAAACAACCCAGACCGCCAGCUAAGGUCCCAAAGUCAUGGUUAAGUGGGAAACGAUGUGGGAAGGCCCAGACAGCCAGGAUGUUGGCUUAGAAGCAGCCAUCAUUUAAAGAAAGCGUAAUAGCUCACUGGUCGAGUCGGCCUGCGCGGAAGAUGUAACGGGGCUAAACCAUG
rnacentral:rRNA from 1 species